GAAAAAAUCAAACUCCUAAGUCCUAAACCUACUCCGAACCAAAUGACCUAGAUCUUCUCUUCAGACUUCAGGUCGAUCAAUAUAGAUCUUCUCUGCCCUUUGGGCUUUCAAAUCUCGAUUUCUACUUGGCUCCUUUGCGGUAGUUAUUCUUCCCAAAACCUUGGCCGUUUAAAAACUUAAUCUUUUGUAUUACUCUUUUAAAAUAAAAGUUUAUUUAGAUCUGGUCUGCCGUAAUUAUUGUUUUGUACUAUUGUUUUAGGGAUUUGACAAUUCUAACCCAUGGAAAUCACGGAUCGUCCAUUUGUUGAGAACAAAUUGACAUCGAUUAUUGAGAGAGAUGACAAAGAAAAAUUUAUUGCAGAAAUCAAUCGGUACUCUGAUAUAAAUUGUGAAGAAAUUCUAUAUUUAGUCCUCUUUUGGUCUUCAGUUAGUGUGCUGAGGCCUUGAUCACAGGACAAACGCCCCUUUCCGUCGACCUCAAUCUUCCUUGUACUGAAACUGGAUUGAAUCCCCUCCAUUUUGUUGCUGUGUUAGCAAGCAAGCCCUCUAUGAUUGAGUUAAUCAUCUUUUAUGGAGGACGAACAGAUAUUCGGGUGACGUCUGUUUUACUUAAAUAUGACAACUUGCUUCCACUUCAAAUUGCAUUACUGCAAAUGGUGCGCGUGCAACCGAUAUUGCUUUUCAUUUGAUUAUAAAAACUAAUACCAAGACUCAAUUUUUUGUGUGAUUUAUAUAUAUUCCCUAUUUUUUUUCCCUUUUUCUCUUGCAGACCAAUUACCGUGUAUUAAAUUGGACUCCUAAGGACUCUAUCUACAAGUUGAUCGCUGCAUUAUGUAUACCAGUAUUGGUAUUUCUUUCAGUUCUCUUGGUCUCUUUUUGAUUAAUACUAUGACACUAUUUGUCGCAGCUUUUCCAUUCUUUAACUUCUGCUUCUACUUUUGAAGAUUGAUUUGAAAUUGUGUGAUAUGACUUAACGUUGGUACAUAAAUUGUGUACUUCAGGUCUGUUUUUGACAUGAGUUUUGGACAAAUUAUUAAAUCCUUUAUUCAAACUAUGCACGGGCUAUUAUCAACUAGUUCUCCUUAUUUGCCAAACACUUCUUCACAACUUUUGAAGAAGUAGAAUCAGUUUAACAAACACCGGUUAACAACUUUUAGAGAAUCAAAAUCAGAAACAAUUUCUUAGAAUCAAAAGUAGAAGCAGAAGUUAAAGAACUUCAGGGGCAGAACUGAAACUACUGAAACUUCAGGGGCUAAAAUGGAAGAAAACAAAACUACAGGGACUGAUAAGUAAUUUUUCAGGGGCUAUUUUGAAAUUUUAGAAAAUUUGGGGGACUAAAUUAUAAAAUUAUAAAAACUAUGGGGUACCUAACUGUAAUUUUCCAGAGAUAUUUAUUUCCCAAAUCUGAUCUCAAAUACUCAUCUCGAUCGUUGGAGAAAAAAUAUAAUAAAACGACGAUUCUUCUUCUUCUUUUUCUUUUUUUUUCUAGUCAAUUCUUCUUUUUCUUCUUUGUCAAUUCUUCUUUUUCUUCUGUGGAUACUUUCUUCUUCUUCUUCAGUUGAUCCUUCUUCCUCUUCUUCUUCUGUCGAUUCUUUUUCUUUUGUCCAUCGCCAUGCUGAUUGUUGUUACGUAUCCGGAUUGAAAGUGCCGCACCCGACACAAAUCCCGCAUCCGCACCCGUGUCGGAUCGUGUCGACACGGGUACUCCAUCAGAAGCAGACAAGUCCGAGUAACACAGACGGGUGAAAAAACAUCCUGAUUCAUAAUGGUAUUCACCUCUUUUGUUGCAGAUGAACAAGUCCUUGACCCCUGAAGUAUACAUUGAAUUUGAGCCCUCUGUAAUUGCUAAGUCUUGAAAAAAGACCAUAAAAUACAAUAAUCUCUAGUACUAUCUAAAAAGAUCCGGAUAAUCCCACCUCAAACACUAUCAAUAAUCUGUCAGCUUUAUUCUAUAUUUCAUCUAUACAACCGCAACGCUAAGUUUCAUACUACAUAUGUUGUUUUUUCUAGAACAAAAUUAACAGAUUUCCCCUGCCUGGAUGAAUAAUCUAAGGCUAAUGGCAAGUUGUAAACCUUGAUACAAAACCAAAACAACCCUGCAUAAUGAUGCUUCUGGUUAAACAUCAACAGUUCUAGCGAAAAAGGGGAAAUAAUUGUUUCAGUCUCAAUUCCUCUUCUUUCCCUACAAAAAUCUAAAUCAGCAACAGACAAAUAGAACACUGCUAAGCCUCUCAAAUGGCACUCACGUAAUAAUCUAAUCAGGAAAAACAGUAGUAGCCAUUCUAUGGUUAUCCUCAGAAUUUAGAACUGUAUACAAAUCAAGCUUCAGUUUUUACAAUUUUUUUACUAUUAAAUUUGUUCAAACAACACCUUAAGUCAAAGGGUAUAAAUGUGAAGAAUAAAGUCUUAUUAAAUACCUUUCCAAGCUCAUAAAGUCUUCCCACUGCUUCAUCCCUUAAAAUUUCUAGGAACAAAUCAAUCUUUCGAUCCUCAGAAACACCUAGCCAAAUCAAAGAACUUCUCAGUGUUUACAUCUCACGAUAAUGCAAGUCUGUGGAUAAAAUCAAUUAGCACUUGAAUGAUAGUGUAAUUUGUUACAUCAUCAAUACAAAACAGUGUGAACAAUAUUACAGAGUCAUUACUAAAAAUAAUCAUGUCUCGCGUCACCUUGAGUUGAUCACUAUUCCUUUUUGGGGAUUAAAGAUUAGCAUGAUUUCAUCACAAAAAAUGAAGCAAAACAAAAGGAGGAAAAAAGAAGGAAUAAACAAUUUAUUGUAAAAACGAAAUUUCUAUGGCUUAUUUACAAUUUUAUUGCAAAAACAAAUUUUCUAUGGAUAAUUUGCAUAAUAAGUACCACUAUUCCUAGAAUUUUCAUUCUCAUUCACCGGAAUUAAAUACACAGUAAAACUAAAACUUUAACAAAACCUAACAAAAGCUUAAAUAAAAUUAAAAAAAAAAAAACCCUCUUUGGAAUGCAUAUAAUAUAUCAGCAUGGGAAACAUCAAUAAACAGUAUCAUUUCAGAUGUCCUAAACUACUAAUACUAACAGAAAUAUUAAAUAAAAGCAAUGACAGGAGCGGGCAAGAAACAAAACAACAAAUGAAUAAAAGUAACAGGAAAUCUACUACCUAAAAUUCAAUAGUUCAUGGGAGAUAUGCUAUGGGGAUUGGAGUUGGGGUCAUUUGCAAUCUAACCUUAGCAAGCUUCUUCUCUUUACAUGCCUGUCUCUCUCUCAUCGAAUUCUUAGUUUUCCUUCUCCACCAAACGAAUGAGUGCAUCACAUCUCCUUGCAAGCUCUUGAGUAGUGUGAGACUUAACAAACCAAUCAAAGCGGAACAAAGGUGAAGUACGAAAUGCUAAUUUCAGCUCAUCCCAAUUCUUAUACCCAAGUUACCCAACGAAAAAGUUAUUUAGUAAGCCACUCAAUUGAAGUACAAAAUCAUAAAUGGCAUUGUUCAAGUUUUAUCAGUAGAAAGUUGCACAAUAAGCCCUAAAAUAUGACACUAAUAACCAAUGGAAUAUGAUAUUAAUGACAGGGAAAUAACUAUAACAAAAAAGAUUAAAAAAUAAUAUAUAAAAAAUUAGAAGAUGGACAUACCGAGCUAUAAAUGUUGACGUUGCUGCAAAAUUAGAUUGAUGGACAAACUUAGGGACAGAAGCAUAAUAUGUCAUUUUCCAUAAGGACCCAUGUUUCACCAAGAAGUUAUAACUCCUUGGCAGUUGAUUAAAUGGCCAAGGAGUAUGAUCUGUUCAUAGAUCAAUAACAAACACCUGACACCUGCAGCACACAUUCUUUAUAACACAUAACAUAAUCAACAAAGAAAUACAUCCACUAACCUUUUUCCCAAACUAAAUGAGACCUAUUCAUCAAAAACUAACCUGAUAUUCAUCUCCAAAUUCUUCAUUAAAUGCAGCCUUAAUAGCUUCAGCAACCAAAUUUGUAAAAAUAUCAUGAUUGUUGUGAAAAUACCAAAUAAGUUGCUGCAAUUUCUUAAAUCUAUACAAUAAAUAUAAGUAAAUUGAUUUUCACUUUAAUGAAAAUUAAACAGACAACACACAAAUUCAAAGUUGAACAUUGAUAUAACACUACUAUCUAUAGAAAGAACUAGGGUGUGAAUCUACUGGUCGAUCUAUACGCAUAUAUAGAUAAUAGUAUGAUCCAGCAUGCCCAUUUGUAAAAUUAAAAAAAAAUUGUUUUCCCCCGACUCCAUGUAUGAAUAAAGUGGUUAUGGUAAUAAUCAAAACUACUACUCACUACUCCUCAACCUCUUGUAAGGAAAACGAAGCAUAUAUGUGAUAUCAAUACAAUCAAAACUACUAAAAUUCUGAAGAACAAGCAUAAAAAAAUUAUAAAUAAAAUCCCUAGAAUGUGUACUUGGUCUUUCACCAUACUACAUUUUUUUUUGUGAAUUUGCAUGUUCUAUUAGAUAACGGUUAAAUCCUCUAAACUCUACCUUAUGACGACUUUGAGAUAAAAAAUCAGGGGGUUUAUAGAGAGAAACUCAUAAUUCAAAGGCAAUUGCAAAUUGAUGUCGUAGAAGUAUAUACGUUGCCGUAUUAAUUUUCCGGCCACAACACGCCGUUGUAGGUGAUGAGUUUCUUCUUCUGACCAACAACUCUUUACACUAUACACUCCUAAAUUUCAGUUGCAGCAAAAGAAACAAAUCAUACUAAUCAAUACAUUUAAAAUUUAGCUCACAUUAUUUUGCAUAAUAAUAAUAAUAAUAUGCCGCAAAUUCAGUGCUCCAUCUUCUCAAUCUCAAAAUAUGAUAUAAAGCGAAUUUGGUCAGCCAAAUACGAAAUGAACUUCGUUUAUAUACGAAAAUAAGUUCUUUAAAUGCGUGAAAUUGAUUUCUCUUUUGAGCUGGUCUUAUAUACCAGAGCAGCUGGCAAGAAAACAUCAUAGCACAUUACAAAAUGAGAUACUCCUUAAAGAUUUCUCAAACUAAACUAAAGCUAUAACUUAGACUUCUCAAACUGAACUAAACUAUUUUUCAUAUUCUUACAUUUUCUUGUGAAUUCACUUUGGUAAAAACUUUCCAAUAUUAUUAAUUCUCACACAUCCCAAAUGUGUGAGGGCUUUUAUAAUUGAUGUAGAACUCUGAAAAAAUGAGAGGACAAACAAAAGCCACAUUACAUAACCAAGGAUAUUCAACACGUGGAAAGGAAAUAGUAAGACCUUUGAUCACCUAGAAUUCAGUAUCUUUUGUUUAACUCAAAUAUAACUGAUCCUGCCUCAUCGUUUGAUUUGAAUAUGACCAGAGCUUGACAGGUUAGUAAGAAACAAUCAAUUCGAUAAUAAUUAUGCUAUCAACAUGAUGUCCAUUGGACCACUGGUAGAAAAUGAAAAGGCUACAAUGAGAUAUGAUACCAUUGGGUGAGUUACAGAAAGUGCUGCGUUGUAUCAUCUUUGCACCGACCUUUUUUUGGAGUGCAAGCCAAACUAUGUCGUGGGAAGUUCUUAAUCAAACAUCUAAGAUGCACCAUGCCACUAAUUAAGUGAAAAAUACUUGAAAAAAUAAACCCCUCAAAAUCAUUUCACAAAUUAGUAUUUCUUAAAGUUAUAAUACAUAGCAAAAAAGGUGUGUUAACUUGGAUCAUGCCAAACCCAAAAAGGUACAACUUUGAGAUAAGAAAUCAGAGGGUUUAUAGAGACUCAAUUGCAAAUUGAUGCCGUAGAAGUGUAUAAGUUGCCGUAUUAAUUUUCCGGCCACAACAUGCCGUUGUGGGUGACGAAUUUCUUCUUCUGACCUACAACUCCUUGCACUACACACUCCUAAAUUUCAACUGCAGCAAAAUAAACAAAUCAUACUAAUCAAUACAAUUAAAAUUUAGUUCACAUACCAAAUUCAGUGCUCCAUCUUCUCAAUCUCAAUAUAAUAUAAAGCGAUUUUGCUCAUCCAAAUAUGAAAUCAACUUCGCUUAUCAGGCCACUUUGUCGCCACUUGGGGCUUCUUCAGAGGAAUUGGAACGUUUGAGUUUGAAGGAUUACUUUGAGCAGUCAAAAUAUAUGCUAAGAUCGGUAUGAUGGCGGUGAGGCGUUGAUGUCUGUUGAUUUGGGGCUUCUAGGUUUGUGAUAAUGGGAUUUGAAGAGAUCUGAUACUUGAAACCAAAGGACGGAAAUAAUCGAAAAAUACGGAAAAAGAAUCUACUGAAAGUGGAAGAAGAUUGGAAAUAUGAAAAGAGAUGAAGAGAAACGGAAGAGUAACCGAUCAAUUGUAUAUGAGAUUUGGAAUUCAGAAUAGAAUCGCGAAAGGGAAUCGAUCGAUUUAAUUUUUAAUCGACAUUCCUCACCUGUUUUUCAAAUUAAUUGAGUUCACUCGGCCUGAUUUUCAAAUUGAAAGGCAGUUGUUUUCCAAAUUAAGUGAGUUGACUCACCCGUUUAUCAAUUUACAAGGAUCGAUUUUACUGCCUUUAUAUAUAAGGUAUUGAUAAGCUAAUUUCUUGUAACAAAAUAACUAAAAUACCCCAUAAUAUAUAAUCUUAGUGGGUUUUUGUAAUUUUGUUUCAAUAAGCUACAAGCAACUUUUCAAAAACAACUUCAAUAUCUUCUAAGAAUACUGUAGUAGGUAGAGUAUUUAAUUUGAACUUUUGAAUUUUAUAGUUAAAUCAUAUUGUCGGUUUAGAUUAUAUAAUAUAAUAUAAUAAUAACAUAUUAAUAUGUGAUUGAUAAUAUCAGAGUAAAAAUGUCGAUGUCCCUAUUAAUAUUGUUCAAGCCCAUCUUUAUAAAAAGAUUAAUUAUAUUUCAAAAUUCUAUACUAAAUAUUCAACUAUCAUAUGGUUAAAAUAUUAAAUAAUUCAUCAAUUAAACUAAUAAUGCAUGUAUUAAUUCAUAUAUUCACCCCUUUAUGAAUAGCUCUACUAUAACAAUAAUAAUAACAACAAUAAUAAUAAUACUACAUAAUAAUAAUGACGAUGAUAAUAAUGAUAAUAUUGAAGUUGUAAUUUAUUCUUAUUAUUUAAAGUCCAAGUUGGGAGGAAUAUAUAAUUAUGAUUAAAAUCUAUGCUCAAGCACUUAAAAAAAAANNNNNNNNNNNNNNNNNNNNNNNNNNNNNNNNNNNNNNNNNNNNNNNNNNNNNNNNNNNNNNNNNNNNNNNNNNNNNNNNNNNNNNNNNNNNNNNNNNNNGGGGGGGGGGAGAAAAAAGAAUGAGAGAACUUUAGCAGUUGAUUUGAGAAGCACCUCAAAAGGUGAUUCUAGCUUCCAACAUUUUUAUGUAUUAAGGUACUUGUACUCAGCUUUUAGCUUUUGGACCUAAAAACUAAAACAAACACCACUUAUGUAGCUUCUGAGAAGCUAGGAGUGAGCAAUUCGGUUGUAAUCGAACCAAAUAGGCUAUUCAGUUAUAACCGAAAACCAAAAUAUAUACAUUUGUGAUAUCCAAACAAAUAAUCGAAUUUUGAGAUAACCGAAUUAUCGAAUUACCAAAUAGUAAAUUCGGUUAUUCGGUUAAUAACCGAAAUGAAGGCUAAAACAAGGAAAAAUUGGACUUUAUGCAGUUGGUUUCACAAGGA
rnacentral:lncRNA from 1 species